rnacentral:lncRNA from 1 species
CCGGUGUCGCGGUUGGUUGUUCCUCUCUCUCUCUCUCUCCCCGUCGCGCGCUUGUGUUGUUCUGCUCUUGUUCGUCCCAGAUCUAGGUCAGUUCAUGUCGCCCUCUUGCGCAUGUGGUGCAGCCGCUAGAUUGCUAGGCUUCUGGUUGUUGUGGUCGUCCCGCGCGCGCUGCUGUUUGUACUGUUGUAGUUUGUAGAUGCAGCGGCUUUGUCCCCCUUUUGUCUGUGGAGAUGUAGCUGUUCAUGUAGAUGAGAGGGCAAUCUGUAGAUGUUCCUGUAGGCGCGAGGGAUUCUGUAGAUGUUUCUGUAGAUGUUCCUGUAGGUGCUCAUGUUCCUGUAGGUGAGAGGGCGAUCUGUAGGUGCUCAUGUACUUGUAGCUGCUCAUGUUCCUGUAGCUGAUGGGGAUUCUGUAGAUGUAGCUUGGCGGAUGUCUGUAGUUGUAGCAUGCGGGAUGUUGUAGAUGUACUGGUAGAUGUCUAGCUCGUUCCUGCUCGUGUCGGGAUGCUCCCUGAUGCUUCUGCGUGUUUUCCUGCUCUUGCCCCUGCUCAUGUACUGGUAGAUGCUAGGUGCUCGUGUCAAGCUCUUUUUUUGUAUUCAAAUGAAUUAGGCUCCUGAUUUGUUGUUGGAGGUGUAGUUCUCCUUUGUACCGUGUUUGUUUUUCUUCUAGCAGGAAUGAAUUUUAAGUUUAAUUUCUGUGUACUUUUGGCUCGGCCCUUUUCAGUGUUGUCAAUUGUUUGAUCAGACCUUUUCAGUGUCGUCACAGACUUCCAGUGUAAUAUCAGUUUUGUAGUCUUACAGGGGUAAUUUCUCCCAGUUUGUAUAGUGUAAUUAACCCUGAAUUUCUAGGGUGAUUUUUUAUUGUAAUUGCAGUGUAGUUUUAUGUGUAAUUUUCCCAAAUUUUCAUUGUAACUUUAUGUCAGUUUUACUGUGUAAUUCAUCUCAGAUUUACAGACUUUAAGUGUAUUUUAGCCGUUUUAAUUCCACUGUGAUUUUAUCUCAUUUGUUGCAUUGUAAUGUAAUUUGUCUCAGUCUUGCAGCAUAACCUGUCCCAGAUUUUAUGUGUAAUUUGAGUGGAUUUUCUCACAGUGUAGUUCAUCCCAGCAUUUCGUACUUUUAAGU